ensembl:processed_transcript predicted gene 28177
CAUAUAUAAAACUACAAAUAUACACAAUGUUUAUUGGCCAAUGACCUAUGAAGGGGAUCCCAUCCCUGCUCAAAGAGCACACCUGCUGGAAAGAGCUACCUUCCUGAUCUACAACCUUUUCAAGAAAUUACUAAUAAAAUUGCCAGAACUAAACUAUCAGGUGAAAGUAAAGGCGUCCAUUGACAACAAUAGAAGAUUUGUGCUUUGUGGAACUCACGUCAAAGCUAUGUCCAGUGAGGAAUCUUCCAAUGGGAGCCUCUCAGUGGAGUUUAGACAUUUGGGCUGCCACAUGGUGACAGAGGAGUUGCAUUCCAUAACCUUUGAGACCCAGAUCUGCCUCUAUGGCCUCACCAUUAACCUAGAGACCAGCUCAUUACCUGUCGUGAUGAUUUCUAAUGUCAGCCAACUACCUAAUGCAUGGGCAUCCAUCAUUUGGUACAAUGUAUCAACUAACGACUCCCAGAACUUGGUUUUCUUUAAUAACCCUCCAUCUGUCACUUUGGGCCAACUCCUGGAAGUGAUGAGCUGGCAAUUUUCAUCCUAUGUCGGUCGUGGCCUUAAUUCAGAGCAGCUCAACAUGCUGGCAGAGAAGCUCACAGUUCAGUCUAACUACAAUGAUGGUCACCUCACCUGGGCCAAGUUCUGCAAGGAACAUUUGCCUGGCAAAACAUUUACCUUCUGGACUUGGCUUGAAGCAAUAUUGGACCUAAUUAAAAAACAUAUUCUUCCCCUCUGGAUUGAUGGGUACAUCAUGGGAUUUGUUAGCAAAGAGAAGGAACGGCUUCUGCUCAAAGAUAAAAUGCCUGGGACAUUUUUGUUAAGAUUCAGUGAGAGCCAUCUUGGAGGGAUAACCUUCACCUGGGUGGACCAAUCUGAAAAUGGAGAAGUGAGAUUCCACUCUGUAGAACCCUACAACAAAGGGAGACUGUCGGCUCUGCCAUUCGCUGACAUCCUGCGAGACUACAAGGUUAUCAUGGCUGAAAACAUCCCUGAAAACCCUCUGAAGUACCUCUACCCUGACAUUCCCAAAGACAAAGCCUUUGGCAAACAUUACAGCUCCCAGCCGUGCGAAGUUCCCAGAAAGCACGUGGUGCGGCUCUUCCCAGCAGCUGCCUCCCUCCCGCCGCAGCUUGCUGAGCGCGCGGCCGCAGCGUCCCUAGUGGCGAGCGCAGCCCUUGCAUGGAGGUCCGAAGAGGGCACUAGACUCCUGGAACUGGAGUUGGGAACCGCCAUUACGCAGGCACUGCAAAUCCAAGCCCUGUCCUCUGCAAGAGCAAGUUCUCUGUAGCUGCUGAGUUAAAGCCAAUCGUUUCAGCUCUGCUCCAUACCCUGAGCCGGCGCCACGCCGCCGCGCAUGCAACUGGCAUAUAACUUGCUGUGUGUGGUGAUUGCUUGUGUUGAAUCCCGAACCUGCACCCUGAGACAGCCCAAGGAUGUCACAGUGGUUCGAGCUUCAGCAGCUGGACUCCAAGUUCCUGGAGCAGGUCCACCAACUGUACGAUGACAGUUUCCCCAUGGAAAUCAGACAGUACCUGGCCCAGUGGCUGGAAAAGCAAGACUGGGAGCACGCUGCCUAUGAUGUCUCCUUUGCGACCAUCCGCUUCCACGACCUCCUCUCGCAGCUGGACGACCAGUACAGCCGCUUUUCUCUGGAGAAUAAUUUCUUGUUGCAGCACAACAUACGGAAAAGCAAGCGUAAUCUCCAGGAUAACUUCCAAGAAGAUCCCGUACAGAUGUCCAUGAUCAUCUACAACUGUCUGAAGGAAGAAAGGAAGAUUUUGGAAAAUGCCCAAAGAUUUAAUCAGGCCCAGGAGGGAAAUAUUCAGAACACUGUGAUGUUAGAUAAACAGAAGGAGCUGGACAGUAAAGUCAGAAAUGUGAAGGAUCAAGUCAUGUGCAUAGAGCAGGAAAUCAAGACCCUAGAAGAAUUACAAGAUGAAUAUGACUUUAAGUGCAAAACCUCUCAGAACAGAGAAGGUGAAGCCAAUGGUGUGGCGAAGAGCGACCAAAAACAGGAACAGCUGCUGCUCCACAAGAUGUUUUUAAUGCUUGACAAUAAGAGAAAGGAGAUAAUUCACAAAAUCAGAGAGUUGCUGAAUUCCAUCGAGCUCACUCAGAACACUCUGAUUAAUGACGAGCUAGUGGAGUGGAAGCGAAGGCAGCAGAGCGCCUGCAUCGGGGGACCGCCCAAUGCCUGCCUGGAUCAGCUGCAAAGCUGGUUCACCAUUGUUGCAGAGACCCUGCAGCAGGUCCGUCAGCAGCUUAAAAAGCUGGAGGAGUUGGAACAGAAAUUCACCUAUGAGCCCGACCCCAUUACAAAAAACAAGCAGGUGCUGUCAGACCGAACCUUCCUCCUCUUCCAGCAGCUCAUUCAGAGACUGUUGGUGAAAUUGCAAGAGCUGAACUAUAACUUGAAAGUGAAAGUCUCAUUUGACAAAGAUGUGAACGAGAAAAACACAGUAAAAGGUUUGAAGCAUUUUAAGGAUUUGUGUCUUGUGUUGUAUAGAUUUCGGAAGUUCAACAUCUUGGGUACGCACACAAAAGUGAUGAACAUGGAAGAAUCCACCAAUGGAAGUCUGGCAGCUGAGUUCCGACACCUGCAACUGAAGGAACAGAAAAACGCUGGGAACAGAACUAAUGAGACCACCUCUCUUCCUGUCGUGGUGAUCUCCAACGUCAGCCAGCUCCCCAGUGGCUGGGCGUCUAUCCUGUGGUACAACAUGCUGGUGACAGAGCCCAGGAAUCUCUCCUUCUUCCUGAACCCCCCAUGCGCGUGGUGGUCCCAGCUCUCAGAGGUGUUGAGUUGGCAGUUUUCAUCAGUCACCAAGAGAGGUCUGAACGCAGACCAGCUGAGCAUGCUGGGAGAGAAGCUGCUGGGCCCUAAUGCUGGCCCUGAUGGUCUUAUUCCAUGGACAAGGUUUUGUAAGGAAAAUAUUAAUGAUAAAAAUUUCUCCUUCUGGCCUUGGAUUGACACCAUCCUAGAGCUCAUUAAGAAGCACCUGCUGUGCCUCUGGAAUGAUGGGUGCAUUAUGGGCUUCAUCAGCAAGGAGCGAGAACGCGCUCUGCUCAAGGACCAGCAGCCAGGGACGUUCCUGCUUAGGUUCAGUGAGAGCUCCCGGGAAGGGGCCAUCACAUUCACAUGGGUGGAACGGUCCCAGAACGGAGGUGAACCUGACUUCCAUGCUGUGGAGCCCUACACGAAAAAAGAACUUUCAGCUGUUACUUUCCCAGAUAUUAUUCGCAACUACAAAGUCAUGGCUGCCGAGAACAUACCAGAGAAUCCCCUGAAGUAUCUGUACCCCAAUAUUGACAAAGACCACGCCUUUGGGAAGUAUUAUUCCAGACCAAAGGAAGCACCAGAACCGAUGGAGCUUGACGACCCUAAGCGAACUGGAUACAUCAAGACUGAGUUGAUUUCUGUGUCUGAAGUCCACCCUUCUAGACUUCAGACCACAGACAACCUGCUUCCCAUGUCUCCAGAGGAGUUUGAUGAGAUGUCCCGGAUAGUGGGCCCCGAUUUGGACAGUAUGGUGAG